AUAAUGGGUCAGCGACUUAUAUUCUGUAGCAAGGUUAACCGAAUAGGGGAGCCGAAGGGAAACCGAGUCUUAACUGGGCGUUAAGUUGCAGGGUAUAGACCCGAAACCCGGUGAUCUAGCCAUGGGCAGGUUGAAGGUUGGGUAACACUAACUGGAGGACCGAACCGACUAAUGUUGAAAAAUUAGCGGAUGACUUGUGGCUGGGGGUGAAAGGCCAAUCAAACCGGGAGAUAGCUGGUUCUCCCCGAAAGCUAUUUAGGUAGCGCCUCGUGAAUUCAUCUCCGGGGGUAGAGCACUGUUUCGGCAAGGGGGUCAUCCCGACUUACCAACCCGAUGCAAACUGCGAAUACCGGAGAAUGUUAUCACGGGAGACACACGGCGGGUGCUAACGUCCGUCGUGAAGAGGGAAACAACCCAGACCGCCAGCUAAGGUCCCAAAGUCAUGGUUAAGUGGGAAACGAUGUGGGAAGGCCCAGACAGCCAGGAUGUUGGCUUAGAAGCAGCCAUCAUUUAAAGAAAGCGUAAUAGCUCACUGGUCGAGUCGGCCUGCGCGGAAGAUGUAACGGGGCUAAACCAUGCACCGAAGCUGCGGCAGCGACGCUUAUGCGUUGUUGGGUAGGGGAGCGUUCUGUAAGCCUGUGAAGGUGUACUGUGAGGUAUGCUGGAGGUAUCAGAAGUGCGAAUGCUGACAUAAGUAACGAUAAAGCGGGUGAAAAGCCCGCUCGCCGGAAGACCAAGGGUUCCUGUCCAACGUUAAUCGGGGCAGGGUGAGUCGACCCCUAAGGCGAGGCCGAAAGGCGUAGUCGAUGGGAAACAGGUUAAUAUUCCUGUACUUGGUGUUACUGCGAAGGGGGGACGGAGAAGGCUAUGUUGGCCGGGCGACGGUUGUCCCGGUUUAAGCGUGUAGGCUGGUUUUCCAGGCAAAUCCGGAAAAUCAAGGCUGAGGCGUGAUGACGAGGCACUACGGUGCUGAAGCAACAAAUGCCCUGCUUCCAGGAAAAGCCUCUAAGCAUCAGGUAACAUCAAAUCGUACCCCAAACCGACACAGGUGGUCAGGUAGAGAAUACCAAGGCGCUUGAGAGAACUCGGGUGAAGGAACUAGGCAAAAUGGUGCCGUAACUUCGGGAGAAGGCACGCUGAUAUGUAGGUGAAGUCCCUCGCGGAUGGAGCUGAAAUCAGUCGAAGAUACCAGCUGGCUGCAACUGUUUAUUAAAAACACAGCACUGUGCAAACACGAAAGUGGACGUAUACGGUGUGACGCCUGCCCGGUGCCGGAAGGUUAAUUGAUGGGGUUAGCGCAAGCGAAGCUCUUGAUCGAAGCCCCGGUAAACGGCGGCCGUAACUAUAACGGUCCUAAGGUAGCGAAAUUCCUUGUCGGGUAAGUUCCGACCUGCACGAAUGGCGUAAUGAUGGCCAGGCUGUCUCCACCCGAGACUCAGUGAAAUUGAACUCGCUGUGAAGAUGCAGUGUACCCGCGGCAAGACGGAAAGACCCCGUGAACCUUUACUAUAGCUUGACACUGAACAUUGAGCCUUGAUGUGUAGGAUAGGUGGGAGGCUUUGAAGUGUGGACGCCAGUCUGCAUGGAGCCGACCUUGAAAUACCACCCUUUAAUGUUUGAUGUUCUAACGUUGACCCGUAAUCCGGGUUGCGGACAGUGUCUGGUGGGUAGUUUGACUGGGGCGGUCUCCUCCUAAAGAGUAACGGAGGAGCACGAAGGUUGGCUAAUCCUGGUCGGACAUCAGGAGGUUAGUGCAAUGGCAUAAGCCAGCUUGACUGCGAGCGUGACGGCGCGAGCAGGUGCGAAAGCAGGUCAUAGUGAUCCGGUGGUUCUGAAUGGAAGGGCCAUCGCUCAACGGAUAAAAGGUACUCCGGGGAUAACAGGCUGAUACCGCCCAAGAGUUCAUAUCGACGGCGGUGUUUGGCACCUCGAUGUCGGCUCAUCACAUCCUGGGGCUGAAGUAGGUCCCAAGGGUAUGGCUGUUCGCCAUUUAAAGUGGUACGCGAGCUGGGUUUAGAACGUCGUGAGACAGUUCGGUCCCUAUCUGCCGUGGGCGCUGGAGAACUGAGGGGGGCUGCUCCUAGUACGAGAGGACCGGAGUGGACGCAUCACUGGUGUUCGGGUUGUCAUGCCAAUGGCACUGCCCGGUAGCUAAAUGCGGAAGAGAUAAGUGCUGAAAGCAUCUAAGCACGAAACUUGCCCCGAGAUGAGUUCUCCCUGACUCCUUGAGAGUCCUGAAGGAACGUUGAAGACGACGACGUUGAUAGGCCGGGUGUGUAAGCGCAGCGAUGCGUUGAGCUAACCGGUACUAAUGAACCGUGAGGCUUAACCUUACAACGCCGAAGGUGUUU
rnacentral:rRNA from 1 species